rnacentral:tRNA from 1 species
CCUCCGAUAGCUCAGCUGGAAGAGCACGAGACUGUAAUCGGAUAACCGUAAUCUCGGGGUCACCUGUUCGAGCCAGGUUCGGAGGA